rnacentral:lncRNA from 1 species
ACCUAAUGAGGGAGAGUGGGAAGGGGGUCUAAGAGAAAAUGAGAGAGAUGAUGAUUCUGAGGCCACCCUAUCCCAGCCAUAUUAUUCACAUAUCGAGUCCCAACAGCAACAGUGUAGGGAUGAGCACGACAGUGCAGGUGAGCAUGAAGGAUGGACAAGCUUCGGGGAUUUUGGAUUGGGAACACAACAAAACACUAACACUCAGGGAUUUGAAAAUAGUCAGACGGCCGCUAAUAUCGAUGAUUCGUUUUUAGAUCGAAUCAAUGAAUUGUCAAACGAAUUCAAUCAAUGACACCAGCGUGACCAAGAAGAACAACAACGUCGUCUAUCAUUUAUUUUUAGAUCGUAUGUUACUAAUUUUAUGCUUUAUUGUAGUCCAUGUAUGUUGAUAUACUUAUUCCAUGAUAAUUCUAUGUUUAUCCUUUUGUGUGAUGUAAAUUAAAUGUUGAAUGGCGGUUCAUGCAGGGGAAGAACAUAUCAAUAUUCGCAUAUUCAUUCAAAAACAUGAAAAUUCUUAAUGGAGUACCCUCAUUUUUUAUUGAAUUCCUAAAAAACAAUAUUUAUAAUGAAUUUUAAUAAUUUUUUCGGAUUUUUUUGAAGCUUUAUUCUGACCGAUUCACCCGAUUCCGAUCCGGAUCGCCGAUUCGCCGAUCCGGAUCGGUUUUUGGAAAGCCCGAUCCGGGUCAUCGAUCCGUUUUUUAAACCAUUGGAGUAGAGCAUGGAGCCACAAAAAUAUAUAUUGGAUUGUUUAUCAAGAUAUCAUUUUUUUUUGUACAAGGCCUAUAAGAAGCCACUACGCAAUGUCUCGGAAAAAAAUGAAUAGUAUUUUCCCCUAUAGGUUUGGCGUCGUUCAAUUUUUAUGGAUGGCGUGAAAAAUCAACCGCACCAAACCUAUUAUAUCCAUUGCGGUCGAUUUUUCAUGGGAAAAUCACGUGAAACCGCAACAGCUCAUGUUAUGACUUUUUCGGCUAAACUGUAACGUUUCUAUCAAGAGCUAUUGCAAGUGAAAUCACUAUUCAUUUGCACACCAUUGCAUUUUUAAGGGUUAUAUAUAUAUAUAUAUAUAUAUAUAUAUCAUAUUAGCCAUAUAGUUAACAACGACAGUGUAUGCUCAAUGCCCCAGAUUGAACAUGAGUUGAACUAAUGAUUACGAUUUUAUUUUGUAUUUGAAUUUGAUUUUUUUAUACAAAUCCAAACCAUUUGAAAUUUUGAACGUCUAUUAUUUAAAAAUAUGAAAAUAUAAUAUAAAUAUCAAAAAAAUAAUUUAUCAAAGAUAAAUUGACCAAAAUACCUCAAUAAUAUUUAGGAGUAUUUUAAUCAAUUUAUAUUUUCUAAGUUAUUUUUUAAGAUUUUUAUUAGGUGUAUCUUGAUGAGAAGAAUUGAUCCUUAAAAUUUUAUGUGAUUUGGAUUCGUAGAAAAAUAUUAAAAAUUAUAUUACAAAAUGAGGUUGUGACUGUUAGAUCGGCUUAAAUUCAAUCUGGGUCAUUGGGCUUACACUUGAAAAUAAUAAUAACAAACUGAG